GAGGACCUCCUGCAGUAAUGGAACAUGAAAUUCCAGGCUGUGAGCUCCCUAAGGGCAGAACAUCUUGUCUAACUCAGAUCAUUAAAGUGGCCCUGGAGCCAGACCCACCUGGGUGUGAACUUCUGUUUCUCCACUUGUUGGCUGUGUACUCAUAGGGGCAGCCACUUGAAGGAGGAGACACACAGGGAGAACGUCCCGAGGCUGAGACUGGAGUUAUGCAGCUGCAAGCCUGAGAACACCAAAGAUUGCUGCAGAAACCACUGGAAGCAAGAAAGAGGCCAGGGAGGAGUCAGAGGAGGCAUGGCUCUGCAAACACCUUGAUCUCCUGGCCUCCAGAACUGUGAGACUAUACAUUUCUGUUGUUUUAAGCUGCCAAGCUCAUCAUACCUUUUGACUGUAGCCCUACAAAACCAAUAUAACUGCUUUCAGGAAGUCCCAGCUACUGCACUUUUGGGGAUACUGCUGCUAAUCAUGUUGCAUUUUUGCAGCUCUAGGCAUGUAUUUUCAGCCCCUCACCCCCAAAUCAACAUUUACCGUAUUUUCCUGUUUCUGAAAUUUCCUACCUGAGGUAUAUACAUUUCAUAUAAUCUGACCU